UACGUAGGGCGCAAGCGUUGUCCGGAAUUAUUGGGCGUAAAGAGCUCGUAGGCGGUUUGUCGCGUCUGCUGUGAAAUCCCCAGGCUCAACUUGGGGCGUGCAGUGGGUACGGGCAGACUAGAGUGCGGUAGGGGAGACUGGAAUUCCUGGUGUAGCGGUGGAAUGCGCAGAUAUCAGGAGGAACACCGAUGGCGAAGGCAGGUCUCUGGGCCUUACCUGACGCUGAGGAGCGAAAGCGUGGGGAGCGAACAGG
rnacentral:rRNA from 1 species